GAUGAACGCUGGCGGCGUGCCUAAUACAUGCCAGUCGAGCGAACAGACGAGGAGCUUGCUCCUCUGACGUUAGCGGCGGACGGGUGAGUAACACGUGUAUAACCUACCUAUCAGACUGGGAUAACUUCGGGAAACCGGCGCUAAUACCGGAUAAUAUAUUGAACCGCAUGGUUCAAUAGUGAAAGACGGUUUUGCUGUCACUUAUAGAUGGAUCCGCGCCGCAUUAGAUAGUUGGUAAGGUAACGGCUUACCACGGCAACGAUGCGUAGCCGACCUGAGAGGGUGAUCGGCGACCCUGGAGCUGAGACACGGACCAGACUACUACGGGAGGCAGCAGUAGGGAAUCUGCCGCAGCGGGCGGAAGCCUGACGGAGCAACGCCGCGUGAGUGAUGAAGGUCUUCGGAUCGUAAAAAUCUGUUAUGAGGGAAGAACAAAUGUGUAAGUAACUAUGCACGUCUUGACGGUACCUAAUCAGAAAGCCACGGCUAACUACGUG
rnacentral:rRNA from 1 species